UUGAAAUAAACCUGAUGAGUUGCUGCUGGUUCUCUAGGGAACAUGUGCACACUUGUCGUUUUUAUAUUUCCACCUGUGCAUCUUUUGUAGACCUGGAUAUCUUUCUGUAUGCUUUUAUAGUGUGUCAGGUUUGAGGAUUGACUUUAUUGUCUGUCUUUACAUUUCCAGGUCUAUGUUUCUUCAAUAUACCCCAAUGUAAUAGAAUGUAGUAAAUGGGCCUUUGUGCCUAUAAACCUUAUA
rnacentral:misc_RNA from 1 species